AAGGUGUCGCGGAAGCGAUGAAAAGGGAAUGCGGUGUAAGUCCGCAGCAGUUCCCGCUACUGUAACAGGGACGAAGGCGCAUGAGCCAUUGCCGAAAGGCGAGAAGGCACGCCGGAGAUUGAUCUGAAGCCAGGAGACCUGCCUUGUACC
rnacentral:ncRNA from 1 species